rnacentral:rRNA from 1 species
GAUGAACGCUGGCGGCGUGCCUAAUACAUGCAAGUCGAGCGAACAGAUGAGGAGCUUGCUCCUCUGACGUUAGCGGCGGACGGGUGAGUAACACGUGGAUAACCUACCUAUAAGACUGGGAUAACUUCGGGAAACCGGAGCUAAUACCGGAUAAUAUAUUGAACCGCAUGGUUCAAUAGUGAAAGACGGUUUUGCUGUCACUUAUAGAUGGAUCCGCGCCGCAUUAGCUAGUUGGUAAGGUAACGGCUUACCAAGGCAACGAUGCGUAGCCGACCUGAGAGGGUGCUCGGCCACGCUGGAACUGAGACACGGUCCAGACUCCUACGGGAGGCAGCAGUAGGGAAUCUUCCGCAAUGGGCGAAAGCCUGACGGAGCAACGCCGCGUGAGUGAUGAAGGGCUUCGGAUCGUAAAACUCUGUUAUUAGGGAAGAACAAAUGUGUAAGUAACUAUGCACGUCUUGACGGUACCUAAUCAGAAAGCCACGGCUAACUACGU